CAAAAAGAACAAAGUGUCUGUGAUCAAUCCCAACAACUAAAGUGGAUCCAAUACUUCAACUAGAACUUUCUCAUUAUUGAUUACUCUUUAUUUUAUUAUUUGCUUUCUAUUAUCAUUCUCAUUAUUAGUUACUACAAUCAAUCUCAAACCCCCCCUGUUAUUUUGUUGACAGUUUUUUAUCCCAAUUUUCAGUUUAUCUCAUUUAAUCCCAC
rnacentral:lncRNA from 1 species